rnacentral:rRNA from 1 species
GAUGAACGCUGGCGGCGUGCCUAAUACAUGCAAGUCGAGCGAACAGACGAGGAGCUUGCUCCUCUGACGUUAGCGGCGGACGGGUGAGUAACACGUGGAUAACCUACCUAUAAGACUGGGAUAACUUCGGGAAACCGGAGCUAAUACCGGAUAAUAUAUUGAACCGCAUGGUUCAAUAGUGAAAGACGGUUUUGCUGUCACUUAUAGAUGGAUCCGCGCCGCAUUAGCUAGUUGGUAAGGUAACGGCUUACCAAGGCGACCAUGCGUAGCCGACCUGAGAGGGUGAUCGGCCACACUGGAACUGAGACACGGUCCAGACUCCUACGGGAGGCAGCAGUAGGGAAUCUUCCGCAAUGGGCGAAAGCCUGACGGAGCAACGCCGCGUGAGUGAUGAAGGUCUUCGGAUCGUAAAACUCUGUUAUUAGGGAAGAACAAAUGUGUAAGUAACUAUGCACGUCUUAACGGUACCUAAUCAGAAAGCCACGGCUAACUACGUG